GUCUGGUUCCUAUGCUGUGUGACCCUGACUUAGUUCCUCUGUGACCCAAGCCCCCUCUCCCUGGCCUCCUGCCAAGGGCGGGGGAAGCAGCUAGGCCUGGGAGGGAUUGGUUGGACCAGCAGAAGUGAUGGUCCCAUCACUUCCUUCAGAUCAGGGUCCAGGAACAACAGCAGAGGAAGGAGAGGAGCUGAGGGAGAGACGCCGCUCCUGAAGAAAGGUGUGUCACCUCCAGAGGCUGCAGGAAGGACAUGAAAGCAUGCUGGUGAAGUGUAUAAGUGUUCUCAGAAGAAAAGAACCCAAGGUUCCUUCUUCAUCGUGUGACUGCCUGCCUCCAUGUGGCUGACUUCAUGCCAGGUUGGCUUUUCCAUUCUCCUCCUCGACAGAGCUUUGAGAUGGACAGCUAAUGGGCCCUGGAGAUUUCCUUUGAGACUCUAAUAAAUUAUCCUUA